CGGGGGGGGGGCAAGCGUUGUUCGGGAAUUACUGGGGCGUAAAGAGCUCGUAGGCGGCCUGUUUAGUCGGGACGUGAAAUCCCUCGGGCUCAACCGAGGGAACUGCGUCCGAUACUGGCAGGCUUGAAUCCGGGAGAGGGAUGCGGAAUUCCAGGUGUAGCGGUGAAAUGCGUAGAUAUCUGGAGGAACACCGGUGGCGAAGGCGGCAUCCUGGACCGGCAUUGACGCCGAGGAGCGAAAGCCAGGGUAGCAAACGGGAUUAGAUACCCCGGUAGUCCUGGCCCUAAACGAUGAAUGCUUGGUGUGGCGGGUAUCGAUCCCUGCUGUGCCGAAGCUAACGCAUUAAGCAUUCCGCCUGGGGAGUACGGUCGCAAAGGCUGA
rnacentral:rRNA from 1 species